rnacentral:rRNA from 1 species
GCAUAUCAAUAAGCGGAGGAAAAGAAACCAACAGGGAUUGCCUCAGUAACGGCGAGUGAAGCGGCAACAGCUCAAAUUUUAAAGCUGACGUCUUUGGCGUCCGCGUUGUAAUUUGGAGAGGCAUCUUCGGUUUGGGCGCCAGCCUAUGUUCCUUGGAACAGGACGUCACAGAGGGUGAGAAUCCCGUGCCUGGCUGGCUGUCCCUUUCCAUGUGAAGUGCCUUCGACGAGUCGAGUUGUUUGGGAAUGCAGCUCAAAAUGGGUGGUAAAUUUCAUCUACAGCUAAAUAUUGGCGGGAGACCGAUAGCGCACAAGUAGAGUGAUCGAAAGAUGAAAAGCACUUUGAAAAUAGAGUUAAAAAGUACGUGAAAUUGUUGAAAGGGAAGCGCUUGAGACCAGACUCGGCCGGAGAUGAUCAGCCGUCCUUCUGGGCGGUGCACUCGUUUCCGGCCGGGCCAGCAUCGGUUGAGACGGCGGGAUAAAGGCCCGGGGAAUGUGGCUCCUUUCGGGGAGUGUUAUAGCCCCGGGCGCAAUGCCGCCAGCCUCGACCGAGGACCGCGCUUCAUUGCUAGGAUGCUGGCGUAAUGGUCUUCAUCGACCCGUCUUGAAACACGGACCACGGAGUCUAACAUCUAUGCGAGUGUUUGGGUGUCAAACCCUUGCGCGUAAUGAAAGUGAACGGAGGUGGGAACCCCUCGCGGGGCGCACCAUCGACCGGUCCUGAUGUCUUCGGAUGGAUCUGAGUAGGAGCAUAGCUGUUGGGACCCGAAAGAUGGUGAACUAUGCCUGAAUAGGGUGAAGCCAGAGGAAACUCUGGUGGAGGCUCGCAGCGGUUCUGACGUGCAAAUCAAUCGUCAAAUUUGGGUAUAGGGGCCAAAGACUAAUCGAACCAUCUAGUAGCUGGUUCCUGCCGAAGUUUCCCUCAGGAUAGCAGUAACGAUCUCAGU